UGGCGACCGGCGCACGGGUGAGUAACGCGUAUGCAACCUGCCCGAUACCGGGGUAUAGCCCAUGGAAACGUGGAUUAACACCCCAUAGUACUUUUAUCCUGCCUGGGAUGUGAGUUAAAUGUUCAAGGUAUCGGAUGGGCAUGCGUCCUAUUAGUUAGUUGGCGGGGUAACAGCCCACCAAGACGAUGAUGGGUAGGGGUUCUGAGAGGAAGGUCCCCCACAUUGGAACUGAGACACGGUCCAA
rnacentral:rRNA from 1 species